rnacentral:rRNA from 1 species
UGCCAGCAGCCGCGGUAAUACGAAGGUCCCAAGCGUUGUUCGGAAUCACUGGGCGUAAAGCGUGUGUAGGCUGCGCGGAAAGUCGAAUGUGAAAGCCCGGGGCUCAACCUCGGAACUGCAUUCGAUACUCCCGUGCUAGAGUAAUGGAGAGGUAAGAGGAAUUCCUGGUGUAGCAGUGAAAUGCGUGGAUAUCAGGAGGAACAUCAAUGGCGAAGGCAACUUACUGGACAUUUACUGACGCUCAGACACGAAGGCUAGGUCCCUUCGUAUUACCGCGG